rnacentral:rRNA from 1 species
ACUUUCAUCGAAUACGGCUUUCCACAGAAUUCUAUAGGGAUCUAUGAGAUCGAGUAUGGAAUUUUGUUUACUCACUUUAAAUUGAGUACCCUAUGA